AAUCCAUGCAUCGGACAUUUCCUAAUUAAGACUUUAAAUUGUUCCCAAGCUUCAUAUAGGGUUUAAUAAUUCGAUUGAUAAAAAGAUGUGAUGUCAUUUCUAAGCUU
rfam:Gossypium arboreum cultivar AKA8401 contig_20855_1, whole genome shotgun sequence.